rnacentral:rRNA from 1 species
UUCGGCUGGAUCGGUGACAGGUGCUGCAGUGCUGUCGUCAGCUCGUGUCGUGAGAUUGGUUGGGUUAACGUCCCGCAAACGAGCGCCAACCCUAUUGUUAGUUGCCAUCAUUCAGUUGGGCACUCUAGCGAGACUGCCGGUAAUAACCGGAGAAGUGGGGAUGACGUCAAAUCAUCAUGCCCCUUAUGACCUGGGCUACACACGUGCUACAAUGGUUGGUACAACGAGUUGCGAGUCGGUGACGGCGAGCUAAUCUCUUAAAGCCAAUCUCAGUUCGGAUUGUAGGCUGCAACUCGCCUACAUGAAGUCGGAAUCGCUAGUAAUCGCGGAUCAGCACGCCGCGGUGAAUACGUUCCCGGGCCUU